GUCUCGGCAGGAGGUAGCAAGGCCAUUCAUUUUCUUCGUUUGUCAUUAGUAUAAAAUACGCGUACCAUUCCUUUUUUAUUAUUAUUAUUUCAAACAUAUUCACAACGCAUUUUCAGGUAAAAAGUGAAAUGUUUCUAGGCGUUUUUCUUUAUUUGACUGCUGUGUUUAUGGCAGAGUCAGUGAAGGCAUCUACAAUAGAGGAAGCGAAGGCUUUGAAAAUUGCCUUUUGCGAUAAUGAUGUUACAGGGGAUAAAAUAGAAAACUGCUUUGGACAAAUACAGAAAACAUAAAUACCAGAAGAGUUUGAUAAAAUCGCCAAACAGUGCUGUCCUGGAGUUGGAGAUCGCAAAACGGGCAAGGAAGUCAGAGAUUGGUAUUGCAGCACGAGUGUGGAAACCAUAAAAAAGUGCAAUGAAUGUCAAGAAGAAAAAUUAAAAAAUGUUGCAAAUAAAGAAGAGAUAAAGAAAGUCAUGGCUCCUUUUGAAGAUUGCAUUUUGCAUGUAUUCUCAAAUUCUACUGAUGAAGUAUAAAACAAGAAUGUUUGAUUGUCAGAAAGAUUCGGGAAAAUUACUUUUGGUUUCUGGAAAAGAAGUGUAUUUUCGUUUGCUCUAAUGUCAUUAUUUCCUUUUAAAU